GCCCCGAUAACUCAGUUGGCCAGAGUGUCGCUCUUGUAAAGCGAAAGUCGUCGGUUCGAAUCCGACUCGGGGCCCCA
rnacentral:tRNA from 1 species